AUGAUAGGCAUCGACCUCAACACCGUGGAGGAGGACGAGGAGGAGGGCGGUCCCUCGGCUGAGCCCCCGAGGGGUACGGUGUGCCUAGAGCUGUGGCACGCGUGCGCCGGCCGCGUGGGUUCGCUGCCUCGGAAGGGCAGCGCCGUCGUGUACCUGCCGGAGGGCCACCUCGAGCACAUCGGGGAGGCGGCGGGCGCGGUGCCGCCCCAUGUGUUCUGCCGAGUCGUCGAUGUCAAUCUCCAGGCGGACCCUGCGAUGGACGAGGUGUACGCGCAAGUUUCCCUCGUGGUCGACGACGAGGAAGCCAAGAGGCGGAUGCGCCCAGGGGAGAGCGAGGAAGCUUGCGAAGGUGACAGCGAGGACACCGAUGCCGCGAAGCGCCGAGCGCGCAUGCCCCACAUGUUCUGCAAGACGCUCACGGCUUCCGACACCAGCACGCACGGGGGCUUCUCCGUGCCGCGGCGUGCCGCCGAGGACUGCUUCCCGCCUCUGGAUUACAACCUGCAGAGGCCGUCCCAGGAGCUUGUGACCAAGGAUCUGCACGGCACCGAGUGGAGGUUCCGACAUAUCUAUCGAGGCCAGCCACGGAGGCACCUUUUAACCACCGGAUGGAGUGCAUUUGUCAAUAAAAAGAAGCUUGUCUCUGGGGAUGCAGUGUUGUUCCUCCGAGAUGAAGAUGGAGUGCUCCGAUUGGGAGUGCGCCGAGCUGCUCAGCUAAAAAAUGUAUCUCCUUUUCCUGCACUUUUUAACCAGGACUCAAGUCUUAGUAGUCUCGGUAAUGUUGCCCAUGCUGUGGCUGUGAAAAAUAUUUUUCACAUCUACUACAAUCCCAGGUUAUGUGAGUCUGAGUUCAUUGUACCAUAUUGGAAGUUCAUGAGAAGCUUCAGUGAACCUUUUUCUGUUGGAAUGAGGUUCAAAAUGAAAUACGAAAAUGAAGAUGCUUCAGAAAGAAGGUCAACUGGGAUAAUAACUGGGAGUAGAGAGUCAGACCUGAAGUCGCAUGGUUCGAAGUGGAAAUGUUUGGUGGUGAGAUGGGACGAUGAUGUAGAGUGCCGUUGGCCUAAUAGGGUAUCUCCUUGGGAGAUUGAACUUACUGGAUCGGUUUCGGGAUCUCAUCUGUCCUCUCCCCAUUCAAAACGGCUGAAGCCAUGCCUCCCCCAAGUUAAUCCAGAUAUGUUGCUUCCAACCAUUUUGGCAGGUGGAAGUGUUUCUUCGGAUUUUGCGGAAUCUGCCAGAUUCCACAAGGUCUUGCAAGGUCAAGAAUUAUUGGGUUCUAAAACCCAUGAUGGUACUGCUAAUUCAGCUUCUCGGGCGUCUGAAGCAAGAAAUUUUCAGUACAGUGAUGAUCGGAAUUGCUCUAUCAACAUGAGUAACAUUCCAGGGGUUCCAGAACUUGGUGCUAGAACCCCGCCUGAAAAUCAUGGAUUUUCCUACCACUGCUCAGGCUUUGGGGAGUCUCAAAGAUUCCAAAGGGUCUUGCAAGGUCAAGAAGUGUUUCACCCUUAUGAAGGAGGAACUUUGUCUGAUGCUGUUAUAAGAGGUUCUAGCUUCUGUCAACCUGAUGGCAACUGUACAUCUGGUGCAACAUAUAAAUGGCUUACGUCACAGGGAUGCGAUUAUAGUGGGCCAGUAACACUAGCAAUGCCUCAAGCAUCCUCUCCAUUAUCUGUGCUAAUGUUCCCUCAAACUAGUUCCAAGAUACAUGGCUUUGAAUACGUAUGCAGAAGCCUGGAUAAGGAUGAUAAUAUUAGACAUGUUACUGUCAACGCUACUCAAGAUAUGGGAAGAACCAGUCAUGCAUUACCUCUCUGGCCUCAUCUUGUUUCAGGCAAAGCAAUAGCUAGUUGUACUGGAACUAAAAAGUUGCACUCCAUCAGCAGUGCAGAGCAUGAACCAAAUGACAAGGAUGUUCACACAAAUGGCUGCAAAAUCUUUGGUAUCUCUUUGACUCAGAAGGUUCGAGUAUGCAAUGAAGUGGAAUGUAGCAGUGCGAAUUGUGAUUUCCAGCCUUUAAAGCCACAAAUGUCAAAAUCGCUAGGCAACAAUUGUGCUACUGUUCAUGAGCAAAGGCCUGCUGUUGGCAUGGUGGUUGACCUUUCUGCGGUUGAUACGAUGAUCUGA
rnacentral:rRNA from 1 species